UGUGUAGGUGGCGCGCUAAGUCGGGUGUGAAAUUUCGGAGCUUAACUCCGAAACUGCAUUCGAUACUGGCGUGCUUGAGGACCGGAGAGGAGACUGGAAUUUACGGUGUAGCAGUGAAAUGCGUAGAUAUCGUAAGGAAGACCAGUGGCGAAGGCGGGUCUCUGGACAGUUCCUGACACUGAGACACGAAGGCCAGGGGAGCAAACG
rnacentral:rRNA from 1 species